rnacentral:rRNA from 1 species
GGAAUCUUCCACAAUGGACGAAAGUCUGAUGGAGCAACGCCGCGUGAGUGAAGAAGGGUUUCGGCUCGUAAAACUCUGUUGUUAAAGAAGAACAUAUCUGAGAGUAACUGUUCAGGUAUUGACGGUAUUUAACCAGAAAGCCACGGCUAACUACGUGCCAGCAGCCGCGGUAAUACGUAGGUGGCAAGCGUUGUCCGGAUUUAUUGGGCGUAAAGCGAGCGCAGGCGGUUUUUUAAGUCUGAUGUGAAAGCCUUCGGCUCAACCGAAGAAGUGCAUCGGAAACUGGGAAACUUGAGUGCAGAAGAGGACAGUGGAACUCCAUGUGUAGCGGUGAAAUGCGUAGAUAUAUGGAAGAACACCAGUGGCGAAGGCGGCUGUCUGGUCUGUAACUGACGCUGAGGCUCGAAAGUAUGGGUAGCAAACAGGAUUAGAUACCCUGGUAGUCCAUACCGUAAACGAUGAAUGCUAAGUGUUGGAGGGUUUCCGCCCUUCAGUGCUGCAGCUAACGCAUUAAGCAUUCCGCCUGGGGAGUACGGCCGCAAGGCUGAAACUCAAAGGAAUUGACGGGGGCCCGCACAAGCGGUGGAGCAUGUGGUUUAAUUCGAAGCUACGCGAAGAACCUUACCAGGUCUUGACAUACUAUGCAAAUCUAAGAGAUUAGACGUUCCCUUCGGGGACAUGGAUACAGGUGGUGCAUGGUUGUCGUCAGCUCGUGUCGUGAGAUGUUGGGUUAAGUCCCGCAACGAGCGCAACCCUUAUUAUCAGUUGCCAGCAUUAAGUUGGGCACUCUGGUGAGACUGCCGGUGACAAACCGGAGGAAGGUGGGGAUGACGUCAAAUCAUCAUGCCCCUUAUGACCUGGGCUACACACGUGCUACAAUGGAUGGUACAACGAGUUGCGAACUCGCGAGAGUAAGCUAAUCUCUUAAAGCCAUUCUCAGUUCGGAUUGUAGGCUGCAACUCGCCUACAUGAAGUCGGAAUCGCUAGUAAUCGCGGAUCAGCAUGCCGCGGUGAAUACGUUCCCGGGCCUUGUACACACCGCCCGUCACACCAUGAGAGUUUGUAACACCCAAAGUCGGUGGGGUAACCUUUAGGACCAGCCUUCUUUUUAGUUUUCCCCU